rnacentral:tRNA from 1 species
GGCUUAAGUGUAUAUAUAUAGGCAUUUGAGAACGAGUGUCACCACCUUGCCAAGGUGGAUGUCGCGAGUUCGAACCUCGUCUCUCGCCC